UACGUAGGGUGCAAGCGUUGUCCGGAAUUAUUGGGCGUAAAGAGCUUGUAGGCGGUUUGUCGCGUCUGCUGUGAAAUUUCGGGGCUCAACCCCGAACUUGCAGUGGGUACGGGCAGACUAGAGUGUGGUAGGGGAGAUUGGAAUUCCUGGUGUAGCGGUGGAAUGCGCAGAUAUCAGGAGGAACACCGAUGGCGAAGGCAGAUCUCUGGGCCGUAACUGACGCUGAGGAGCGAAAGCAUGGGGAGCGAACAGG
rnacentral:rRNA from 1 species